GGGGCCUUCCUUCCCGCUCGGCCCUUCCUGACGCACCCGGGCAGGAUGCAGCCUCCACCUCCCAAGACCCGGCCUGGAAUCGCGGAGGGAAUCCCGGUGGUGGGAAAGCCUGAUGCGUCGGAGCGGCCCCCGCGUACUCCUCGUGGGACCCGGGCAGGGCUCGCCCUGGGUCUCGCAAGCUUUCGCCAUGCCUCUCAGGGCCCCCAGACAGGACUAUGGAGGGAGGCACCCUCCUGACCCCAGUGUUGACCCAUUCACUUAUUCAGCCGGUUCACGUGUGUCCCCCCCUCGCUGUUUCAGCCGGGAGAGGGCGCUGGCCUGUGCUCCCUGCUGUGCCCAGCAACUUGACCGGAGCCCAAUCCUUCCUGGUGCUGAGGCCUGAAAGGGUAUCUUGAGGCUUCAGAAGUUGGAGCCGCCCUGGGAGGGUCUCAGUCAUUUCACUCAGGACAGUGGGCAGGCCCCUCCGGUCACAGCGUGGCAAGCCAGCCCUGCCGGCCAGGCGCUGACCCUCUUCUCCAGCGCUGCUCCCACGAACGGGGGCCUGGAACCCAGUAGCCUGUUUUAUGUCAAGCAGCACCUGUGGAGAACAUCAUGGUCUUCGAAGCCAGCCUUUGAACCUGAGGCUUGGGCAGGAGAGAGCCCUGGGCUGGGAGUUGGAGGCUUGAGUCUCAGACUCAGAAACAGGUGGUGACCCUCUCCUGUUUCUCCACCCAGUGACCUGACUCCAGGCGGCAUCUGAAAGUUGGACAUUACCGCUCAACCCUCCAUGACCCCCAAUGCUCCCUGGUCGCCCGAAGGCCUCAGAAGAUAUGACCCCGCUUUCUUCUUCAACAUGACCUGACUGCCCCACUCUGGCCACAGGGGCCUUGCUUUGGUCCUCUCCAUCACCUCUAGCCACAGGACCUCUGCAUGGGCAGUUUCUGCUGCCUGUGAUGCUCUUCACACUUCUGCCUAGACUCCUCCUCCUCUGGACCUCUGUUUGGUGGUUACCUCUGUGGGGAAGCCUCCAGCGGCAGGGAGCCAGGCCCUCCUAUCACCUAUUCUCAGGGCCCCCUGCCACUCUCUGCAGCAGACCAUCAUUGUAUUAUUAGACUUUGGUUUCACUGCCAGGCUGUCAACUUCAGGAGGGCAGCGUCCACGGUUGUCCUUGUCACUGCUCUAUUCCUGGCACUCAGAAGAGGGCCCAGUAAAUACAAAGCACAUGUCUUCUUGGCUUCUUCAUGGGUGCUCACAAAGUGAAGAAGGUGUCUUGGAGGUGACUAGGGUGAGGAGACCUCACUCCUAUGGCAAGCGUGGUCAGAGAACAGGGCUCCACAGCUUGCUAAGCCUGACUUUCAAACCAUGUGGCCUGUGAACCACAUCACUUCAUAUGUACUAUCCUUGAAGCUAAUGACAUAAUCUGAGUUCUACAGAUGAUGCUACUGACACUUAGAUAGGGAGAAAGGACUUGCCCAAGGUCAUAGGAGGUGUGCAAGUGGCUGAGCUUCUCCUAUUCUUGUCAGAGUAACUCAUUUGCUGAGUUAGGCUUUGGGUAAAUUAGGCUUUAGGCCUUUUGGAAGUUGACAGAAAUGACAAUGACAAAAGUCUACACCAUAACAUGAGAGGCAGUCAAAGCAGUACUCAGAGGAAAAUUUGUAACAUUAACUCUAGGUACAUUUAUUAGAAAACAAGACUUAAAAUAAUCUUAGCUGUCAAGUCAAGAAGCCAGAAAAAGAACAAAACACCAAAAAGUAGAAAGAAAAUAACAAAGACAAAAGCAGAAAUUGAUGAAAUAGAAAAUUAAA